rnacentral:misc_RNA from 1 species
AAGUCGUAACAAGGUUUCCGUAGGUGAACCUGCGGAAGGAUCAUUACCAAAUCCAAAUUAUCUUUUUUACCCCAUGUGAACUAUUGUGAAAGUAUUUUUGUCUUUUGGGGAGUAGAAUUAUAUAUAUAUGUGAAAAAGAGAAAAUUUUUUCUUUUUCACUUUUUUUUACUUCCCGAAAGAUACAAAUUAGAAAAUUUCAAUUUUUUGAAAUUCUUCUAAUUUUUAAACAAAAUCACCUUUUUAUUACUUGGAAUUAUUUUUUUUAAAUAUAAAAAAUUUAAAAAACAACUUUUAACGGUGGAUCUCUUGGCUCGUG